UUGGAGGGCAAGUCUGGUGCCAGCAGCCGCGGUAAUUCCAGCUCCAAUAGCGUAUAUUAAAGUUGCUGCAGUUAAAAAGCUCGUAGUUGAAUUUCGGGAUCAAUACGUCGGUCGUGCUUAGGUACGUACUGGCGUAAUUGAUUUCUCCCUUCUGACGAACCAUGAUGUCAUUAACUUGGUGUCAUGGGAAAUCAGGACUGUUACUUUGAAAAAUUAGAGUGUUUAAAGCAGGCUCACGCUUGAAUACAUUAGCAUGGAAUAAUGAAAUAGGACGUUUGAUUCUAUUUUGUUGGUUUCUAGGAUCGACGUAAUGAUUAAUAGGGAUAGUUGGGGGCAUUAGUAUUCAAUUGUCAGAGGUGAAAUUCUUGGAUUUAUUGAAGACUAACUACUGCGAAAGCAUUUGCCAAGGAUGUUUUCAUUAAUCAAGAACGAAAGUUAGGGGAUCGAAGACGAUCAGAUACCGUCGUAGUCUUAACCAUAAACUAUGCCGACUAGGGAUCGGAUGAUGUUAAUUUUUAAUG
rnacentral:rRNA from 1 species